AUGCAAGUCGAGCGCACCCUUCGGGGUGAGCGGCGGACGGGUUAGUAACGAGUGGGAACAUACCCUUUUCUACGGAAUAGCCUCGGGAAACUGAGAGUAAUACCGUAUACGCCCUUCGGGGGAAAGAUUUAUCGGAGAAGGAUUGGCCCGCGUUAGAUUAGAUAGUUGGUGGGGUAAUGGCCUACCAAGUCUACGAUCUAUAGCUGGUUUUAGAGGAUGAUCAGCAACACUGGGACUGAGACACGGCCCAGACUCCUACGGGAGGCAGCAGUGGGGAAUCUUAGACAAUGGGCGCAAGCCUGAUCUAGCCAUGCCGCGUGUGUGAUGAAGGCCUUAGGGUUGUAAAGCACUUUCGCCAGGGAUGAUAAUGACAGUACCUGGUAAAGAAACCCCGGCUAACUCCGUGCCAGCAGCCGCGGUAAUACGGAGGGGGUUAGCGUUGUUCGGAAUUACUGGGCGUAAAGCGUACGUAGGCGGAUCAGAAAGUAGGGGGUGAAAUCCCAGGGCUCAACCCUGGAACUGCCUCCUAAACUCCUGGUCUUGAGUUCGAGAGAGGUGAGUGGAAUUCCAAGUGUAGAGGUGAAAUUCGUAGAUAUUUGGAGGAACACCAGUGGCGAAGGCGGCUCACUGGCCCGAUACUGACGCUGAGGUACGAAAGUGUGGGGAGCAAACAGGAUUAGAUACCCUGGUAGUCCACACCGUAAACGAUGAAUGCCAGUCGUCGGGCAGUAUACUGUUCGGUGACACACCUAACGGAUUAAGCAUUCCGCCUGGGGAGUACGGUCGCAAGAUUAAAACUCAAAGGAAUUGACGGGGGCCCGCACAAGCGGUGGAGCAUGUGUUUAAUUCGAAGCAACGCGCAGAACCUUACCAACCCUUGACAUCCUGUGCUACAUUCAGAGAUGAAUGGUUCCUUUCGGGGACGCAGUGACAGGUGCUGCAUGCUGUCGUCAGCUCGUGUCGUGAGAUGUUCGUUAAGUCCGGCAACGAGCGCAACCACAUCCCUAGUGCCAGCAGUUCGCUGGUACUCUAUGAAACUGCCCGUGAUAGCGAGAAGUGUGAUGACGUCAAGUCUCAUGCUACGUGGCUACCCACGUGCUACAUGCAUCUACGUGUAUCCCAAAGAUGUACUCAGUCGAUGGCUCUGCACUCGACGCUGAGUCCGGAAUCGCUUGAAAUUCGCGAUACAACAUAGACGCGGGUAAUACGUC
rnacentral:rRNA from 1 species